ensembl:snoRNA SNORD83 Small nucleolar RNA SNORD83
GCCACAGGAUGAUUUGAUGAGGAUUGCACGAGCACUCUGUGCAAAGACGACUGGCUAUCCAUCACCCUAGUCUGAUGGCU